CUAGCGUUGUUCGGAAUUACUGGGCGUAAAGCGCACGUAGGCGGCUUAGCAAGUCGGAUGUGAAAUCCCUCGGCUCAACCAAGGAAGUGCAUCCGAAACUGUUGAGCUUGAGUACGAAAGAGGAUCGCGGAAUUCCCGGUGUAGAGGUGAAAUUCGUAGAUAUCGGGAGGAACACCAGUGGCGAAGGCGGCGAUCUGGGUCGAUACUGACGCUCAGACACGACAGCAUGGGGAGCGAACGGG
rnacentral:rRNA from 1 species